GACGAACGCUGGCGGCGUGCUUAACACAUGCAAGUCGAACGGACAGGCCCGCAUCUUGCUGGGGGUGCUCGAGCGGCGAACGGGUGAGUAACACGUGGGGGAUCUGCCCUGGAAUCUGGGAUAAGCUCGGGAAACUGGGUCUAAUACCGGAUAUGAUCAUGGUUUAGUGUCUCAUGGUGUAAAGAUCAUUGUUUUGGUGCAGGAUGAGCUCGCGGCCUAUAAGCUUGUUGGUGGGGUAAUGGCCUACCAAGGCGUCGACGGGUAGCCGGACUGCGAGGGUGGGCGGCCAGAUUGAGACGAAGAUCCGGCCCAGACUCCUACGGAAGGCGGCAGGGGGGAAUAUUGCAGAAUGGGCGCAAGCCUGAGGCAGCGACGCCGCGUGGGGGAUGACGGCCGUCGGGUUGUAAACUCCUUUCGUUAGGGACGAAGCCGCACUUUUUUUGGGAGUGGUGACGGUACCUUUAUGAAGAAGCCCCGGCUAACUACGUG
rnacentral:rRNA from 1 species